GCAGUCGAGCGCGAAUAGGGGCAACCCUUAGUAGAGCGGCGCACGGGUGCGUAACACGUGGAUAAUCUGCCUGGAUGCCUGGGAUAACCAGUCGAAAGAUUGGCUAAUACCGGAUAAGCCCACGGUUUCUUCGGAGACUGAGGGAAAAGGUGGCCUCUGUAUACAAGCUAUCACAACCAGAUGAGUCCGCGGCCCAUCAGCUAGUUGGCGGGGUAAUGGCCCACCAAGGCGACGACGGGUAGCUGGUCUGAGAGGACGAUCAGCCACACUGGAACUGAGACACGGUCCAGACUCCUACGGGAGGCAGCAGUGGGGAAUUUUGCGCAAUGGGCGAAAGCCUGACGCAGCAACGCCGCGUGUGUGAUGAAGGUCUUUGGAUUGUAAAGCACUUUCGACCGGGACGAAACCGUAAAGCCUAAUACGCUUUGCCUUGACGGUACCGGGAGAAGAAGCACCGGCUAACUCUGUGCCAGCAGCCGCGGUAAUACAGAGGGUGCAAGCGUUGUUCGGAAUUAUUGGGCGUAAAGCGCGUGUAGGCGGCUUUGCAAGUCGGGUGUGAAAGCCCUCAGCUCAACUGAGGAAGUGCGCCCGAAACUGCAGAGCUUGAGUGCCGGAGAGGGUGGCGGAAUUCCCCAAGUAGAGGUGAAAUUCGUAGAUAUGGGGAGGAACACCGGUGGCGAAGGCGGCCACCUGGACGGUAACUGACGCUGAGACGCGAAAGCGUGGGUAGCAAACAGGAUUAGAUACCCUGGUAGUCCACGCCGUAAACGAUGAGCACUAGGUGUCGUGGGAGUUGACUC
rnacentral:rRNA from 1 species